rnacentral:rRNA from 1 species
GUUGUAUGGUUAAGUGAYUAAGCGUAGACGGUGGAUGCCUUGGCAGUCAGAGGCGAUGAAGGACGUAUUAACUUGCGAUAAGCCCAGAUAAGGCAGUAAAAGCCAUUUGAGUCUGGGAUUUCCGAAUGGGGAAACCCACCUGCAUAAGCAGGUAUCUUAGCGUGAAUACAUAGCGCUAAGAGGCGAACUCGGGGAACUGAAACAUCUAAGUACCCGACAGGUAUCUUAGCGUGAAUACAUAGCGCUAAGAGGCGAACUCGGGGAACUGAAACAUCUAAGUACCCGAAGGAAAAGAAAUCAAUUGAGAUUCCGGCAGUAGCGGCGAGCGAACCCGGAGCAGCCCUUAAGCGGCUUAGGCGUUAGGUGAACAGGUUGGAAAACCUGGCAAUAAAGGGUGAUAGCCCCGUAACCGACAACGCCUUAGYCGUGAAAWCGAGUAGGACGGGACACGUGAUAUCUUGUCUGAACAUGGGGGGACCAUCCUCCAAGGCUAAAUACUCCUGACUGACCGAUAGUGAACCAGUACCGUGAGGGAAAGGCGAAAAGAACCCCUGUGAGGGGAGUGAAAUAGAACCUGAAACCGUCUACGUACAAGCAGUGGGAGCCUCUUCGUGGGGUGACCGCGUACCUUUUGUAUAAUGGGUCAGCGACUUAAUGUUAGUAGCAAGGUUAACCGCAUAGGGGAGCCGUAGGGAAACCGAGUCUUAACUGGGCGUMSAGUUGCUAGCAUUAGACCCGAAACCGAGUGAUCUAGCCAUGGGCAGGUUGAAGGUUGAGUAACAUCAACUGGAGGACCGAACUCACUAACGUUGAAAAGUUAGGAGAUGACCUGUGGCUAGGGGUGAAAGGCCAAUCAAACUCGGAGAUAGCUGGUUCUCCCCGAAANCGUAGGGAAACCGAGUCUUAACUGGGCGUMCAGUUGCUAGCAUUAGACCCGAAACCGAGUGAUCUAGCCAUGGGCAGGUUGAAGGUUGAGUAACAUCAACUGGAGGACCGAACUCACUAACGUUGAAAAGUUAGGAGAUGACCUGUGGCUAGGGGUGAAAGGCCAAUCAAACUCGGAGAUAGCUGGUUCUCCCCGAAAGCUAUUUAGGUAGCGCCUCGGACGAAUACUACUGGGGGUAGAGCACUGUUAAGGCUAGGGGGUCAUCCCGACUUACCAACCCUUUGCAAACUCCGAAUACCAGUAAGUACUAUCCGGGAGACACACGGCGGGUGCUAACGUCCGUCGUGGAGAGGGAAACAACCCAGACCGCCAGCUAAGGUCCCAAAGUUAUCGCUAAGUGGGAAACGAUGUGGGAAGGCUCAGACAGCCAGGAUGUUGGCUUAGAAGCAGCCAUCAUUUAAAGAAAGCGUAAUAGCUCACUGGUCGAGUCGGCCUGCGCGGAAGAUGUAACGGGGCUAAGCGAUACACCGAAGCUGCGGCAAUGNGGAGAGGGAAACAACCCAGACCGCCAGCUAAGGUCCCAAAGUUAUCGCUAAGUGGGAAACGAUGUGGGAAGGCUCAGACAGCCAGGAUGUUGGCUUAGAAGCAGCCAUCAUUUAAAGAAAGCGUAAUAGCUCACUGGUCGAGUCGGCCUGCGCGGAAGAUGUAACGGGGCUAAGCGAUACACCGAAGCUGCGGCAAUGUCCUUAUGGAUAUUGGGUAGGGGAGCGUUGUGUAAGCUGUUGAAGGUGUGCUGAGAGGCAUGCUGGAGGUAUCACAAGUGCGAAUGCUGACAUGAGUAACGAUAAAGGGGGUGAAAAACCUCCUCGCCGGAAGACCAAGGGUUCCUGUCCAACGUUAAUCGGGGCAGGGUAAGUCGGCCCCUAAGGCGAGGCCGAAAGGCGUAGUCGANUAUUGGGUAGGGGAGCGUUGUGUAAGCUGUUGAAGGUGUGCUGAGAGGCAUGCUGGAGGUAUCACAAGUGCGAAUGCUGACAUGAGUAACGAUAAAGGGGGUGAAAAACCUCCUCGCCGGAAGACCAAGGGUUCCUGUCCAACGUUAAUCGGGGCAGGGUAAGUCGGCCCCUAAGGCGAGGCCGAAAGGCGUAGUCGAUGGGAAACGGGUUAAUAUUCCCGUACUGCUGCUUACUGCGAUGGGGGGACGGAGAAGGCUAGGUGGGCCUGGCGAUGGUYGUCCAGGUUCAAGUGCGUAGGCUGAUUUCUUAGGCAAAUCCGGGAAAUCAAGGCCGAGACACGAUGUCGAGCCACCAAGGUGGUGAAGUCAUUGAUGCCAUGCUUCCGGGAAAAGCCUCUAAGCUUCAGGUAAGUAGCAACCGUACUCCAAACCGACACAGGUGGUCGGGUAGAGAAUACCAAGGCGCUUGAGAGAACUCGGGUGAAGGAACUAGGCAAAAUGGUACCGUAACUUCGGGAGAAGGUACGCUGCCCGCGGUGAAGUCCCUUGCGGAUGGAGCUAUGGGCAGUCGCAGAUACCAGGUGGCUGCAACUGUUUAUUAAAAACACAGCACUGUGCAAAAUCGAAAGAUGACGUAUACGGUGUGACGCCUGCCCGGUGCCGGAAGGUUAAUUGAUGUGGUUAUCGCAAGAGAAGCCAUUGAUCGAAGCCCCGGUAAACGGCGGCCGUAACUAUAACGGUCCUAAGGUAGCGAAAUUCCUUGUCGGGUAAGUUCCGACCUGCACGAAUGGCGUAAUGAUGGCCACGCUGUCUCCACCCGAGACUCAGUGAAAUUGAAAUCGCAGUGAAGAUGCUGUGUACCCGCGGCUAGACGGAAAGACCCCGUGAACCUUUACUACAGCUUGGCACUGAACAUUGAGCCUACAUGUGUAGGAUAGGUGGGAGGCUUUGAAGCGGCGACGCCAGUUGUCGUGGAGCCAUCCUUGAAAUACCACCCUUGUAUGUUUGAUGUUCUAACUUAGCCCCRUUAUCYGGGGUGAGGACAGUGCCUGGUGGGUAGUUUGACUGGGGCGGUCUCCUCCCAAAGAGUAACGGAGGAGCACGAAGGUGGGCUAAUCACGGUCGGACAUCGUGAGGUUAGUGCAAUGGCAUAAGCCCGCUUAACUGCGAGAGUGACGGCUCGAGCAGGUACGAAAGUAGGUCAUAGUGAUCCGGUGGUUCUGAAUGGAAGGGCCAUCGCUCAACGGAUAAAAGGUACUCCGGGGAUAACAGGCUGAUACCGCCCAAGAGUUCAUAUCGACGGCGGUGUUUGGCACCUCGAUGUCGGCUCAUCACAUCCUGGGGCUGAAGUCGGUCCCAAGGGUAUGGCUGUUCGCCAUUUAAAGUGGUACGCGAGCUGGGUUUAGAACGUCGUGAGACAGUUCGGUCCCUAUCUGCCGUGGGCGUUGGAUGAUUGAGGGGAGCUGCUCCUAGUACGAGAGGACCGGAGUGGACGAACCGCUGGUGUUCGGGUUGUGUCGCCAGACGCAUUGCCCGGUAGCUAAGUUCGGCACAGAUAAGCGCUGAAAGCAUCUAAGCGCGAAGCUGGCCCCGAGAUGAGUCAUCCCUAGAGCUUCGAGCUCUCUCAGAUAAGCGCUGAAAGCAUCUAAGCGCGAAGCUGGCCCCGAGAUGAGUCAUCCCUAGAGCUUCGAGCUCUCUAAAGGGUUGUUCUAGACUAGAACGUUGAUAGGCAGGGUGUGUAAGCGCUGUGAGGCGUUGAGCUAACCUGUACUAAUUGCCCGUGAGGCUUAACCAUACAACACCCAAG